UCAUCAAGCAAAGACGAAGAACUACUCAAGGAACUGCUGGAACUUCAUCGACUAAAGGGAUGUUCGGAAGCUAAGUCCGUGUACCCGUAUGUGUACUGUCGGAAAUUCACAUCCCGUGAAUUUCUGCUGGAGUUUCUGAACUGAAAACAAAAUCAAUCUGGGUACUUACGUAUGCGUACUGAAAGUACAACCAAUCAUAAUCAUCCGGAGAAUAAAGGCCUAAAAUGCACCUUUUAUGGCAUUUGGGAAGCCAUCUUAAUUGUCAUGCCAACAGCUCAUGCUCCGCACUGCCUCAGUCCUUCCAUGGCACUAGAAACAUAUGGACCUUUUAUUAAUUGAUGUGGCAGAAGUAGUAAGUGCUGUGAGGUGUCAGCUGGUGAACGAUGGGUGCUGCAUGCUGUGAUAUAAAAUGUGUUGUUGAGGUAAAAGAAAAAUAGUGGAAGACGUGGUCACUCCCUAACCACAUUUACAUAUACUAUCAUUUUUUCUUAUCGUUGGAAAGGAGGGGUUGCAGCUUCCACUUUCUUUUUAUUUUUCUAAAGUGCAGCCAAUGCUUCUAGUUCAUGUCAGGAGAUUGAAGUUGGUGUUGUGGCAGGAUUAAUCGUAAGUGGUGGUGUUUUCAUUGCCCGAUGAUAACAACAACAAGAUGGAGUUUUAUGUUAGAUGGGUUUUGUAUGGGGUUGUUUGAUCGAGGAGAGAAGGGGGCUGUACACAGGAGUUAUGAUGACUGGCGGAGACACGGACAAUGACAGUAGUGGUUGAAAGAAUGUUGCUGAGAUGGAUUUGUUAGUUUAUAUGAUGUUGAAGGCCGAUGAUCAAGUCCAAGGAGAUAUGAGAGUUUGGUGGCUCGAUGCACUUUGUAGCCGUCAGUAAAUGGAAGUGAUUGGCGUAAUGAGAGUUGCACGGACACAAAAGAGAAUGUAAAUGAUUGCAGUGGUGGUUAUUGUAUCACAUUCGAUGAUUCCUUCCACAGCAGAUGGAAUUGGAGUUCGAUGGGGUUUCUCAUUGUGUUAAGGAAGUAGAUGGAGUUGGUUUUGCCGGUGAUAAAGAAUGGCUUGUACGCCAGCUGAAAUUGACUGGAGAUGAUUCUCAAAAUGGUGGCUGUAUUUGACUCGUAAGGAAUGGAGUUGGACAUACAGAAAUAGGAGAUGGCAGGACUAUGAAGACAAGAAAGUGGAGGAGCUGAAUCGAACUGAAAUGUCAUACUUGGGCUGUAUUUUGUGCCGUGGAAAGUCAGAGGGGAAACUGAAGCUCACAACAUUGAGUUCGAUGGGGGCGAAGAGAUGUAUGUGUUUGGAGAAUGGCAGUGAUAGUCAUUAUGGCUAGGUGGAGUCUGGCAAUUGGAGUUGGCUGAUCUUCCAUCGAGAGAAGAUAGACGGGAUUUGUGGAGCUCUCAAAUACAACAUCAACAGAGGACGGUUUAUAUGUUGCAUGGGUUAGCUGGUUUGAUGAUGUUGUGAAGGUGGCGUUGGAUGAGAAGAAGACUAUGCUGUUUGAUCGAGUGGAGAUAGAGCUACCUGCUAAUUAGCUGAGUUAUUACUUCCGGUGAAGGCAGGUGCUCAGAUGGUCCGAGAAAGAAAGGUUGGUGCUGUGUUCGGAUUUGAGUUAGUAUUGUACUUGGGUGGAAUUUGGAAGCCGGUGGUGGACUGGGCCUUGGAGAUAGGUGAUAUCGGCUAGGUCUAGGAGUCCUUCCCAGCAGGAGGGACAUAUUUUUCAGUCGAGAAGAGAGAUUUUUGGGAGGGGCCGAACGGAGUUCUUUUGGGAGGCCGGUUUGGAGGAGGAGCUUUAGUUCUUCUCUGGAAGCGAGAGACGCCGCAGACCGGAAAAGCAGUUUGAAUAGCCGUGAAGGCAAGAAGGAAGAACAAGAGAUAAAAGGGAAAGCUGGAGAUUCGGUGACAAGGGUUUACUCUUUCCUCUAUUUUUCUUGUAAUUGUUUUAAUGGGUUUUGAGAAAUCCAUAUUUAUGUGUUGCUAAACUUUAUAGCUAGGGUUUUAGGUUGAAACCACUUGGGGUGUUAGGCUAUUUUGAAUUGAAUAAAAUUGAGCAAAAGACCAUCAUGAUUUGAUUAGAUUAAUUCCAUGAUUUUAAUUAUUG